GGAAAAGAUAGCUGUCUCACUGCCUUAAGGUGAUUUUUUUGUAUAGGUCAGUUCUAUACAUGAAUACAUGUUUGAUAAUUGUGCAACCACAACUCGUCCGUUUGGAAGCUGAAUUUCCUGUGUGCCCAGGCCUGUCUACCAAGGUCCUCAUGCCCAUGUAGCCUGGUUUGAAGACUGCAAAGGACACAAGGAAAAUGAUCCUGAGCUUGCGGUGAGAGAAGAGCAGGACACGUCGCUGUGAGAACUGAGAAUUGCCCAGAAUUCCCUUGUCGGCCGCACAGUCCUCAUCAUGUGCUGACACGGCAGAAGCAACAAGAGAAAACCUGCUGCAGAAAACAGGUGGAAGCUUGGAAUGAUACUGUACUUGAAGAUGAAUCCUUCGAAGAAAUCAAAUCUGC
rnacentral:lncRNA from 1 species